GGCUCAGGACGAACGCUGGCGGCGCGCCUAAUACAUGCAAGUCGAGCGAGAAGACGUAGCAAUACGCUUGUAAAGCGGCGAACGGGUGAGGAAUGCAUGGGUAACCUACCCUCGAGUGGGGAAUAACUAGCCGAAAGGUUAGCUAAUACCGCAUACGAUUCCCGGACUGCGGUUCGGGAGGGAAAGCGAUACCGUGGGUAUCGCGCUCUUGGAUGGGCUCAUGUCCUAUCAGCUUGUUGGUGAGGUAAUGGCUCACCAAGGCUUCGACGGGUAGCUGGUCUGAGAGGACGAUCAGCCACACUGGCACUGCGACACGGGCCAGACUCCUACGGGAGGCAGCAGUAAGGAAUAUUGCGCAAUGGGCGACAGCCUGACGCAGCGACGCCGCGUGGGGGAUGAAGGUCUUCGGAUUGUAAACCCCUUUCGGCAGGAAAGAUGGAACGGGUAACCGUUCGGACGGUACCUGCAGAAGCAGCCACGGCUAACUUCGUGCCAGCAGCCGCGGUAAUACGAAGGUGGCAAGCGUUGUUCGGAUUUACUGGGCGUACAGGGAGCGUAGGCGGUUAGGUAAGCCCUUCGUGAAAUCUCCGGGCCUAACCCGGAAAGGGCGGAGGGGACUGCUUGGCUAGAGGAUGGGAGAGGAGCGCGGAAUUCCCGGUGUAGCGGUGAAAUGCGUAGAGA
rnacentral:rRNA from 1 species